rnacentral:rRNA from 1 species
AUUGAACGCUGGCGGCAGGCCUAACACAUGCAAGUCGAGCGAGCGGCGGACGGGUGAGUAAUGUAUGGGGACUGCCCGAUAGAGGGGGAUAACUAAUGGAAACGGUAGCUAAUACCGCAUACUAUCGGAUAACCCAUAUGGGAUUAGCUAGUUGGUGAGGUAAUGGCUCACCUAGGCGACGAUCCCUAGCUGGUCUGAGAGGAGGAGCAGCCACACUGGAACUUAGACACGGCCCAGACUCCUACGGAGGCAGCAGUGGGGAAUAUUGCACAAUGGGCGCAAGCCUUAUGCAGCCAUGCCGCGUGUAUGAAGAAGGCCCUAGGGUUGUAAAGGACGUUCAGUCGGGAGGCGUUACCGACAGAAGAAGCACCGGCUAACUCCGUGCCAGCAGCCGCGGUAAUAC